CAGUUCAGUGCAAACAGGACGCGAAGACAUUUAAAAAGCGCUGUGCAUUAUUUUUUACAAUUGAAUAUAAGACAAUCCGUGCAUUUUUGUUUGUAAAAUGUUUAGUGGCACCGUCUACUGUGGAGUGAAGGGGAUGUUGGUAACCGGACCUCAGCCUGGCUCAGCUGCUCUGAAUAACGUUAACCAUUUCGCCUGAAGGCUUGACUAAAGUAAAAAUGAAAGCAGUGCAGCACCAACCGCUGCUUCUUUGUUCCAGUUAUCCAAACGUGUACCUCAUUUCUAGAUGGAUCUUCCUUCAAAGCUGCUUAACUAAUGAAAACCUCUUCAUCUGAAGCAGAAGAAGGAAGAAGAACAUGGCCGUCGGUGAAGGAACUGCUUGAAACUUACAUGGGGACAGUUCGUGGGAAUUAGGAUAAUAUAUUUUCCGCAACAAUUGAUGGGCAUCCAGUAAAGAAAGGUCAAUGUUUAAAGAGUUUCACAUCCGCUAUUUCAAGUGUUUCCGUUCUACAGUUAACCAGGACACAAGCUCGUCAACAUAUCUUUAUUUUCAGAGAUAAAUAACUACAAAAAGGGUUAAUGAAGAAAUAAUUCAGCUUUUUUUUUCAUCCAUCGAUGUUCACUUGACCUGAUAUUUUGAUUGGACUUAAUGGUGAUAGGACAAACAACCUGACUUCUAUGGGAUUAGUAUAUUAUUUUCUUUUUAUUUAGCCAGAAAGUUAGCCGCUGAGUCAACGCAGUUUAACAGUAAAUAUGUGUUUUUCAAAAAACACUUUCAAUCAAGAGGAUGCUUUAUGUUGGAGUUAUGGUUUGAUCACAAAGGCUCUAUCUUUUAAUGAAGUGUACUGUGUGCUGUACAAAUAUUUCAUAAUAAACUAUACAUUUCUGAAGUGAUA